CUUCAUCCUUCAUCAUACUUCCCAACAGGUUGCUUCCUCUUCUAGAAUAACCACCAAGCUCAUUCUGAUCAUAUAAGCUUCAACACUUCUUAGCCUCUUGUUGAGAUGAGCCAAGUAUAUGUGGAGCAAGUGAGGAGUUGAGACUAAGGAGAUGAGUUGAAGCUUGGAAAGGUUUGAGUAAGGUCCGUACUGUCCGUACAUGACCGUACCAUCCAUACACAUGGAGAUGGGUAAAACCUUGACAAGAGUAAAGAAGUUACUUGGGGUAACUUAUGGGAAGGGAAGGAACUUACCUGGAUGGAUCAGACCGUUGAGGGAUAAGGAAGAGCGCGCCUUGACAGGCUGGAACAGCUGGAAA
rnacentral:lncRNA from 1 species